CAAAAAAGUCCUGCGCGCGUAUCUGUCAAAUGUACGGUUAAAGGGUUAUUCCGCAUUUUUUGCCGAUACGCACACAUUGGAAUUUCGCUAACUCCUCCGAAGGCUUUCGUUCCACUGGCACCACAUUUGCUCAGGCCAAUCUACACCCCAUGGCCAUUAAAAGUUAUUCAAAUCAUGACGCUGCAUCCCAUGGUUUAGGUUCUAGGGGGCGCCAAAAAUAACCCAAAAAUCCACAUUCUUAAAUGUUUUAUAACUUUUUUUUUUGUCCUCACUGGCCUCCAAGUUUUCUAGGAUGAUGCAAUGUCCAGCCAUCAACACAUUUGUGAAGGAAUUUUUACUCCCCAAAAGAGCGCCCCCCCAUGGUAGGAGAAAAAAGUCAAUUUUUUCUUGUCCCCUUACAUGAAAAUACACAUUGUUGAGUGUCACGCCUGAACCUAUGUCAUAUUGACACAAAAAUUGAGAAUCAUGUGUAUCUCAAUUAGAUCUAUGAAAAAGUCAAAGAGCGCGUAUCUGUAUAAUGUACGGUUAAAGGGCUAUUUUGCAUUUUUUGCCGAUUCGCACACAUUGGAAUGUGGCUAUCUCCUCCUAAGGCUUUCGUCCCACCGAUACCAAAUUUGCUCAGGGCAAUCUACACCCCAUGCCCAUUCAAAGUUGUAAAAAUCAUGAUGCUGCACCCCACGGUUUACGUUCUAGGGGGCGCCAAAGAUGACCCAAAAAUCCACAUUCUUAAAAGUCAUUUUGGCCACUGCAGGAGUACAGAGUACUGCAGUUCUAGGGGGCGCCAAAGAUGACCCAAAAAUCCACAUUCUUAAAAGUCUUUUUGGCCACUGCAGGAGUACAGAGUACUGCAGGAUACACACACAUAUACACACACGCCAACACACACACACACACACACACACACACACACACACACACACACAGAGUCUGUUUUUUAGCACCUGCAAAAACAAGCUGUUUACAUAUUUGACAAGAAUGCAGAGGCUUCCUUUUGCCCCUGAAAAAAAUCAAAUUUCAAACACAACUUGACUGUUCAUUUCUCCAAAAGACAACCAUGAAGCUCCAUCCAAACCUGAAGCAGAUAGUUGGUGCAUGUGUACAGUAACCUGAGGGGAGUGAGGUGACUAUUUCUGAGGAGAACAUGAGCAGUGAAGAUUCACCUUGGAGCUAGAACAGGGACGUGCACAUGAUUAUACAGGGGCAGGGGCUCAAGUUUUUUCCAGUCAUUUAUACAAUAUGGAAAUUAAUGUGAAAUUAAACCACAAAUAUAUGUGAUGAACUGUUUUUAAAACUUAAACUUCAAAUAAAAAUUGUAAACUUCAAAACAUAUGCAAAUUUUUAACAAAGAACAUAGUAAUUUACCUCUAUUUACAUCAAAAUGCAGGCAAUGGCCCAGGCGUUCUUUGUAAAAUUAUUUACAAAACACUGUAUAGUCUCACAAAUGUCACUUUUUAUUUAUGCCACUACAAAAAAACAUGAUGUAAAUGAUGCAUGAUGUAAAACAUGAUGUAAAAAACUUGUGUAGAUCCUCCUCUAUGUCAGUCCAUGUGUAAUCUUUCCAUAAUUCUUUGUUUUUUGCAGCAUUUUUGUUAGUGUAACUGCAGAUUGUGCUGACAGUGUCUAUGGCAAAAAAAAAAAAAAAACUGAAAAUGCCUCAACAUGAACCCCUGGUGGUCUCUGAGGGUGAAACCUGCUAACUGCUGCAGCUCUGUCAGCUUUAGUCUCCCAUGCAGAGCUCGGAGCGCAUGUGUGGCUCUGCACCCUUAGCAGCGUUGCUAACUCCUCAGUAAGGAAAGCCUGCUUCAUGUCAGAGUCUCUAAACUCCAGAAGAAGUCGAUAAAAGUCCCUUUCUUUCUAAAAAAAAGUCGUUAGGGGGUCUGAAAAGUCAUUGAAUCUAACAACAAAGUCGCUAGGUUUGCAACUACGUGUCCCAGACUGCAUCCCUGCUGAGAGUUCCUCCCUCCCUUCUCAUGUUGCAGGAAGAACGUAAGCGCCCCCUUGUCAAUCAGUCACCAUAUAAUUUUGGAUUGGUUGUUGUGGUGAAGUUUUCCACCAAUAGGAGAGAUGUUGUGGUGUGUUUUUUUUUUUCUUUGGCAAGCCUUUUCCGCCUGUAAGACCUGUCGCUAAUGUCUGCAUGCUAUGUUUUCCUGUCUCAUACAGCGCGAUCGAGCGCCGAACGUGAUCAAAAUAAGCAGAAAAAAAGUAUCGCGGACAUAAUUUAUCAUAACUCUGGUUUUAUUUGGCCUAUCAACACAAUUUGAAAACUGGUGUAUAGUUUGAGGUCCUCACUUUUGAGAUAAGUUGAAACGGAGAGUCAACGAGGCUCCGUCUUGCUGCUACAUCCGGUUAAAUAUGUAAUGUGACUUGAACGCACACACAGACACACACACACACACACACACACACACACACACACACUCAGAGUCUGGUUUUUAGCACCUGCAAAAACAUGCUAUUUACAUAUUUGACAAGAAUGCAGAGGCUCCUUUUGCCCCUGAAAAAAAUCAAAUUUCAAACACAACUUGACUGGUCAUUUCUCCAAAAGACAACCAUGAAGCUCCAUCCAAACCUGAAGCAGGCAGUUGGUGCAUGUGUACAGUAACCUGAGGGGAGUGAGGUGAGUGCUUCUGAGGAGAACAUGAGCAGUGAAGAUUCACCUUGGAGCUAGAACAGAGACAUGCACAUGAUUAUACAGGGGCAGGGGCUCAAGUUUUUUCCAGUCGUUUAUACAAUAUGGAAAUUAAUGUGAAAUUAAAACACAAAGUAUUAAUAGAAAGGUAAUGACUGUCCUGUGUAGGUGACAGUGAUAUCCAAUAGGCUAGGCACUCACGAGGCUGGCUGUGGCAAGUGUAAGUGAAAGCAACACGCACUGGCAGGAAGAACAGCAAACGCCGAUGAAGGAAAAGGGUCUUUGCAGUGAUGGGCGUUACCAGAGAGGGCGAUGGCCAGAGGACACAAAUGGGACGGGGAGGCAGCACGUUGGGGGGGGGGGACACGGCUCGGGCCCGCCAGUGCCCCAACGGGGUCCUAGUUAGGGCCCGAGCCAGCUGCAGAGCAGCCGGGCGUAGGCCCUAUUAUUCCCCAAGUGGUUUUUCUUUGUUUCUUUCUUUCUUUUUUCUUUUUCCUCCCCUUUGAACUGGAAAAUGGCCCACUUCCCACUGGCGAAAACUCAUGAAAUUUGGCAGGACCACCGGGCCUGGUGAAAAAUUCGAUAUUCUGAAGUCGCCAAAACAAUAAAAUGCAAAAUGGCUCCAUAGCGCCCCCUAAGGUGGAAAUUCACACUAUUGACUGUCACGACUGUACGCUUUGUCAUAUUGACACAAAAAUUGACACACAUAUGUAUCUCAAUAAGAUCUACAAAAAAGUCAGUGCGGCCGUAUCUGUCAAAUGUACGGUUAAAGGGUUAUUUCGCAUUUUUUUCCGAUCCGCACACAUUGGAAUUUCGCUAACUCCUCCGAAGGCUUUCGUUCCACCGGCACCACAUUUGCUCAGGCCAAUCUACACCCCGUGGCCAUUAAAAGUUAUCAAAAUCAUGACGCUGCACCCCAAGGUUUAGGUUCUAGGGGGCGCCAAAGAUAACACUAAAAUCCACAUAUUUAAAAGUCUUAUAACUUUUUAUUUUUGUCCUCACUGGCCUCCAAGUUUUCUAGGAUGAUGCAAUGUCCAGCCAUCAACACAUUUGUGAAGGAAUUUUUACUCCCCAAAAGAGCGCCCCCCCAUGGCAGGAGAAAAAAGUCCAUUUUUUCUUGUCCCCUAAGGUGAAAAUACACAUUGUUGAGUGUCACGCCUAUACGCUUUGUCAAAAUGACACAAAAAUUGACACACACAUGUAACUCAAUAAGAUCUACGAAAAAGUCAAUGCGCGCGUAUCUGUCAAAUGUACGGUUAAAGGGUUAUUCCGCAUUUUUUGCCGAUCCGCACACAUUGGAAUUUCGCUAACUCCUCCGAAGGCUUUCUGUCCACCGGCACCACAUUUGCUCAGGCCAAUCUACACCCCAUGGCCAUUAAAAGUUAUUCAAAUCAUGACGCUGCACCCCACGAUUUAGGUUCUAGGGGGCGCCAAAGACAACCCUAAAAUCCACAUAUUUAAAAGUCUUAUAACUUUUUAUUUUUGUCCUCUCUGGCCUCCAAGUUUUCUAGGAUGAUGCAAUGUCCAGCCAUCAACACAUUUAUGAAGGAAUUUUUACUCCCCAAAAGAGCGCCCCCCCAUGGCAGGAGAAAAAAGUCCAUUUUUUCUUGUCCCCUAAGGUGAAAAUACAUAUUGUUGAGAUUCACGCCUAUACGCUUUGUCAUAUUGACACAAAAUUUGACAAUCACGUGCCUUGCCUGGUAUCAUUUUUUUCAGCACAACCUCACCUGUGCGAAUUUACAGUUAUUUUAUCAUGUUGACAUACUGAAUUUACACAAUGGACCCAAAUUCACACACAAAACAUAAAAUCCGAGUGGAAAAAAGUAACAUUUUUACUGUGAAAACCACAAAUAUGUGUGAUGAACUGUUUUUAAAACUUAAACUUCAAAUAAAAAUUGUAAACUUCAAAACAUAUGCAAAUUUUUAACAAAGAACAUAGUGAUUUACCUCUAUUUACAUCAAAAUGCAGGCAAUGGCCCAGGCGUUCUUUGUAAAAUUAUUUACAAAACACUGUAUAGUCUCACAAAUGUCACUUUUUAUUUAUGCCACUACAAAAAAACAUGAUGUAAAUGAUGCAUGAUGUAAAACAUGAUGUAAAAAACUUGUGUAGAUCCUCCUCUAUGUCAGUCCAUGUGUAAUUUUUCCAUAAUUCUUUGUUUUUUGCAGCAUUUUUGUUAGUGUAACUGCAGAUUGUGCUGACAGUGUCUAUGGCACAAAAAAAAAAAAAAUUUAAAAUGCCUCAACAUGAACCCCUGGUGGUCUCUGAGGGUGAAACCUGCUAACUGCUGCAGCUCUGUCAGCUUCAGUCUCCCAUGCAGAGCUCUGAGCGCAUGUGUGGCUCUGCACCCUUAGCAGCGUUGCUAACUCCUCAGUAAGGAAAGCCUGCUUCAUGUCAGAGUCUCUAAACUCCAGAAGAAGUCGAUAAAAGUCCCUUUCUUUCUAAAAAAAAGUCGUUAGGGGGUCUGAAAAGUCAUUGAAUCUAACAACAAAGUCGCUAGGUUUGCAACUACGUGUCCCAGACUGCAUCCCUGCUGAGAGUCCCUCCCUCCCUUCUCAUGUUGCAGGAAGAACGUAAGCGCCCUCCCCUUGUCAAUCAGUCACCAUAUAAUUUUGGAUUGGUUGUUGUGGUGAAGUUUUCCACCAAUAGGAGAGAUGUUGUGGUGUGUUUUUUUUUUCUUUUGGCAAGCCUUUUCCGCCUGUAAGACCUGUCGCUAAUGUCUGCAUGCUAUGUUUUCCUGUCUCAUACAGCGCGAUCGAGCGCCGAACGUGAUCAAAAUAAGCAGAAAAAAAGUAUCGCGGACAUAAUUUAUCAUAACUCUGGUUUUAUUUGGCCUAUCAACACAAUUUAAAAACUGGUAUAUAGGUUGAGGUCCUCACUUUUGAGAUAAGUUGAAACGGAGAGUCAACGAGGCUCCGUCUUGCAGCUACAUCCGGUUAAAUAUGUCAUGUGACUUGAACGCACACACAGACACACACACACGCACACACACACACACACACACACACACACACACACACACACACACACACACACUCAGAGUCUGGUUUUUAGCACCUGCAAAAACAUGCUAUUUACAUAUUUGACAAGAAUGCAGAGGCUCCUUUUGCCCCUGAAAAAAUCAAAUUUCAAACACAACUUGACUGGUCAUUUCUCCAAAAGACAACCAUGAAGCUCCAUCCAAACCUGAAGCAGGCAGUUGGUGCAUGUGUACAGUAACCUGAGGGGAGUGAGGUGAGUGCUUCUGAGGAGAACAUGAGCAGUGAAGAUUCACCUUGGAGCUAGAACAGAGACAUGCACAUGAUUAUACAGGGGCAGGGGCUCAAGUUUUUUCCAGUCGUUUAUACAAUAUGGAAAUUAAUGUGAAAUUAAAACACAAAGUAUUAAUAGAAAGGUAAUGACUGUCCUGUGUAGGUGACAGUGAUAUCCAAUAGGCUAGGCACUCACGAGGCUGGCUGUGGCAAGUGUAAGUGAAAGCAACACGCACUGGCAGGAAGAACAGCAAACGCCGAUGAAGGAAAAGGGUCUUUGCAGUGAUGGGCGUUACAAGAGAGGGCGAUGGCCAGAGGACACAAAUGGGACGGGGAGGCAGCACGUUGGGGGGGGGGGGGGGGGGGGGCGACACGGCUCGGGCCCGCCAGUGCCCCAACGGGGUCCUAGUUAGGGCCCGAGCGUAGCUGCUAAGCAGCUGCGAGAGCCCUCUUGUUCCUGUAGUUUCCUUCUUUUGUUAUUAUUAGGGCCCGAGCCAGCUGCAGAGCAGCCGGGCGUAGGCCCUAUUAUUCCCCAAGUGGUUUUUCUUUGUUUCUUUCUUUCUUUCUUUCUUUCUUUCUUUCUUCUUUUUCCUCCCCUUUGAACUGGAAAAUGGCCCACUUCCCACUGGCGAAAACUCAUGAAAUUUGGCAGGACCACCGGGCCUGGUGAAAAAUUCGAUAUUCUGAAGUCGCCCAAACAAUAAAAUGCAAAAUGGCUCCAUAGCGCCCCCUAAGGUGGAAAUUCACACUAUUGACUGUCACGCCUGUACGCUUUGUCAUAUUGACACAAAAAUUGACACACAUAUGUAUCUCAAUAAGAUCUACAAAAAAGUCAGUGCGGCCGUAUCUGUCAAAUGUACGGUUAAAGGGUUAUUUCGCAUUGUUUUCCGAUCCGCACACAUUGGAAUUUCGCUAACUCCUCCGAAGGCUUUCGUUCCACCGGCACCACAUUUGCUCAGGCCAAUCUACACCCCGUGGCCAUUAAAAGUUAUCAAAAUCAUGACGCUGCACCCCAAGGUUUAGGUUCUAGGGGGCGCCAAAGAUAACACUAAAAUCCACAUAUUUAAAAGUCUUAUAACUUUUUAUUUUUGUCCUCACUGGCCUCCAAGUUUUCUAGGAUGAUGCAAUGUCCAGCCAUCAACACAUUUGUGAAGGAAUUUUUACUCCCCAAAAGAGCGCCCCCCCAUGGCAGGAGAAAAAAGUCCAUUUUUUCUUGUCCCCUAAGGUGAAAAUACACAUUGUUGAGUGUCACGCCUAUACGCUUUGUCAAAAUGACACAAAAAUUGACACACACAUGUAACUCAAUAAGAUCUACGAAAAAGUCAAUGCGCGCGUAUCUGUCAAAUGUACGGUUAAAGGGUUAUUCCGCAUUUUUUGCCGAUCCGCACACAUUGGAAUGUGGCUAACUCCUCCUAAGGCUUUCGUUCCACCGGCACCACAUUUGCUCAGGCCAAUCUACACCCCAUGGCCAUUAAAAGUUAUUCAAAUCAUGACGCUGCACCCCACGGUUUAGGUUCUAGGGGGCGCCAAAGAUAACACUUAAAUCCACAUAUUUAAAAGUCUUAUAACUUUUUAUUUUUGUCCUCACUGGCCUCCAAGUUUUCUAGGAUGAUGCAAUGUCCAGCCAUCAACACAUUUGUGAAGGAAUUUUUACUCCCCAAAAGAGCGUCCCCCCCAUGGCAGGAGAAAAAAGUCCAUUUUUUCUUGUCCCCUAAGGUGAAAAUACAUAUUGUUGAGUGCCACGCCUGUACGCUUUGUCAUAUUGACACAAAAUUUGACAAUCACGUGUGUCUCAAUAACAUCUACGAAAAAGUCAAUGCACGCGUAUCUGUAAAAUGUACGGUUAAAGGGCUAUUUUGCAUUUUUUGCCGAUUCGCACACAUUGGAAUGUGGCUAACUCCUCCUAAGGCUUUCGUCCCACUGACACCAAAUUUGCUCAGGCCAAUCUACACCCCAUGGCCAUUCAAAGUUGUAAAAAUCAUGACGCUGCACCCCACGGUUUACGUUCUAGGGGGCGCCAAAGAUGACCCAAAUAUCCACAUUCUUAAAAGAAUCCACCCCCCCCCCAUCCCCCAUCCCCCAUGGCAGGAGAAACAGUCAAGUUUUUCCUGCCCAUCUCUCAAUGGCUCAAUCGCAUCACUCUCCCGGCAACACCGUAACGAGGAGCAACUUGCCGUUUGGAUAUAUCCUAGCUGUGUUUGUGCCCUCACUCAUGGUCCAGACUUUUUUCAAAUAGGACAUGUAGUUUGUCUGCAGCGAGUGUUUUGGUAGAAACUGCGCCUCCCAUUUAUUAUAAUGGGAAAUGACCACAGACAAGUGCGCACACCAUCUUUGGACCUUGAGUGUGACGCGAUCGGGGGGGGGAGGCGGUCGCGCUGGGGGCGGCGCGACGCGGCUCGGGCCCGACAGUGCCCCACCGGGGCCCUAGUUAUUAUUUUUCCUCCCCUUUGAACUGGAAAAUGGCCCACUUCCCACUGGCGAAAACUCAUGAAAUUUGGCAGGACGACCGGGCCUGGUGAAAAAUUUGAUAUUCCGAAGUCGCCCAAACAAGAAAAUGCAAAAUGGCUCCAUAGCGCCCCCUAAGGUGAAAAUUCACACUAUUGACUGUCACGCCUGUACGCUUUGUCAAAAUGACACAAAAAUUGACACACACAUGUAUCUCAAUAAGAUCUACAAAAAAGUCAGUGCGGGCGUAUCUGUCAAAUGUACGGUUAAAGGGUUAUUUCGCAUUUUUUGCCGAUCCGCACACAUUGGAAUUUCGCUAACUCCUCCGAAGGCUUUCGUUCCACCGGCACCACAUUUGCUCAGGCCAAUCUACACCCCAUGGUCAUUAAAAGUUAUUCAAAUCAUGACGCUGCACCCCACGGUUUAGGUUCUAGGGGGCGCCAAAGAUAACCCUAAAAUCCACAUAUUUAAAAGUCUUAUAACUUUUUAUUUUUGCCCUCACUGGCCUCCAAGUUUUCUAGGAUGAUGCAAUGUCCAGCCAUCAACACAUUUGUGAAGGAAUUUUUACUCCCCAAAAGAGCGCCCCCCCAUGGCAGGAGAAAAAAGUCCAUUUUUUCUUGUCCCCUAAGGUGAAAAUACACAUUGUUGAGUGUCACGCCUGUACGCUUUGUCAAAAUGACACAAAAAUUGACACACACAUGUAUCUCAAUAAGAUCUACAAAAAAGUCCAUGAGCGCGUAUCUGUAUAAUGUACGGUUAAAGGGCUAUUUUGCAUUUUUUGCCGAUUCGCACACAUUGGAAUGUGGCUAUCUCCUCCUAAGGCUUUCGUCCCACUGAUACCAAAUUUGCUCAGGGCAAUCUACACCCCAUGCCCAUUCAAAGUUGUAAAAAUCAUGACGCUGCACCCCACGGUUUACGUUCUAGGGGGCGCCAAAGAUGACCCAAAAAUCCACAUUCUUAAAAGUCAUUUUGGCCACUGCAGGAGUACAGAGUACUGCAGUUCUAGGGGGCGCCAAAGAUGACCCAAAAAUCCACAUUCUUAAAAGUCUUUUUGGCCACUGCAGGAGUACAGAGUACUGCAGGAUACACACACAUAUACACACACGCCAACAUACACACACACACACACACACACACACACACACACACACACACACACACACACACACACACACACACACACACUCAGAGUCUGUUUUUUAGCACCUGCAAAAACAUGCUGUUUACAUAUUUGACAAGAAUGCAGAGGCUUCCUUUUGCCCCUGAAAAAAAUCAAAUUUCAAACACAACUUGACUGUUCAUUUCUCCAAAAGACAACCAUGAAGCUCCAUCCAAACCUGAAGCAGAUAGUUGGUGCAUGUGUACAGUAACCUGAGGGGAGUGAGGUGACUAUUUCUGAGGAGAACAUGAGCAGUGAAGAUUCACCUUGGAGCUAGAACAGGGACGUGCACAUGAUUAUACAGGGGCAGGGGCUCAAGUUUUUUCCAGUCAUUUAUACAAUAUGGAAAUUAAUGUGAAAUUAAACCACAAAUAAGUGUGAUGAACUGUUUUUAAAACUUAAACUUCAAAUAAAAAUUGUAAACUUCAAAACAUAUGCAAAUUUUUAACAAAGAACAUAGUAAUUUACCUCUAUUUACAUCAAAAUGCAGGCAAUGGCCCAGGCGUUCUUUGUAAAAUUAUUUACAAAACACUGUAUAGUCUCACAAAUGUCACUUUUUAUUUAUGCCACUACAAAAAAACAUGAUGUAAAUGAUGCAUGAUGUAAAACAUGAUGUAAAAAACUUGUGUAGAUCCUCCUCUAUGUCAGUCCAUGUGUAAUUUUUCCAUAAUUCUUUGUUUUUUGCAGCAUUUUUGUUAGUGUAACUGCAGAUUGUGCUGACAGUGUCUAUGGCACAAAAAAAAAAAAAAAAAUUAAAAUGCCUCAACAUGAACCCCUGGUGGUCUCUGAGGGUGAAACCUGCUAACUGCUGCAGCUCUGUCAGCUUCAGUCUCCCAUGCAGAGCUCUGAGCGCAUGUGUGGCUCUGCACCCUUAGCAGCGUUGCUAACUCCUCAGUAAGGAAAGCCUGCUUCAUGUCAGAGUCUCUAAACUCCAGAAGAAGUCGAUAAAAGUCCCUUUCUUUCUAAAAAAAAGUCGUUAGGGGGUCUGAAAAGUCAUUGAAUCUAACAACAAAGUCGCUAGGUUUGCAACUACGUGUCCCAGACUGCAUCCCUGCUGAGAGUCCCUCCCUCGCUUCUCAUGUUGCAGGAAGAACGUAAGCGCCCCCCUUGUCAAUCAGUCACCAUAUAAUUUUGGAUUGGUUGUUGUGGUGAAGUUUUCCACCAAUAGGAGAGAUGUUGUGGUGUGUUUUUUUUUUCUUUUGGCAAGCCUUUUCCGCCUGUAAGACCUGUCGCUAAUGUCUGCAUGCUAUGUUUUCCUGUCUCAUACAGCGCGAUCGAGCGCCGAACGUGAUCAAAAUAAGCAGAAAAAAAGUAUCGCGGACAUAAUUUAUCAUAACUCUGGUUUUAUUUGGCCUAUCAAGACAAUUUAAAAACUGGUAUAUAGGUUGAGGUCCUCACUUUUGAGAUAAGUUGAAACGGAGAGUCAACGAGGCUCCGUCUUGCAGCUACAUCCGGUUAAAUAUGUCAUGUGACUUGAACGCACACACAGACACACACACACGCACACACACACACACACACACUCACACACACACACACACACACACUCAGAGUCUGGUUUUUAGCACCUGCAAAAACAUGCUAUUUACAUAUUUGACAAGAAUGCAGAGGCUCCUUUUGCCCCUGAAAAAAAUCAAAUUUCAAACACAACUUGACUGGUCAUUUCUCCAAAAGACAACCAUGAAGCUCCAUCCAAACCUGAAGCAGGCAGUUGGUGCAUGUGUACAGUAACCUGAGGGGAGUGAGGUGAGUGCUUCUGAGGAGAACAUGAGCAGUGAAGAUUCACCUUGGAGCUAGAACAGAGACAUGCACAUGAUUAUACAGGGGCAGGGGCUCAAGUUUUUUCCAGUCGUUUAUACAAUAUGGAAAUUAAUGUGAAAUUAAAACACAAAGUAUUAAUAGAAAGGUAAUGACUGUCCUGUGUAGGUGACAGUGAUAUCCAAUAGGCUAGGCACUCACGAGGCUGGCUGUGGCAAGUGUAAGUGAAAGCAACACGCACUGGCAGGAAGAACAGCAAACGCCGAUGAAGGAAAAGGGUCUUUGCAGUGAUGGGCGUUACCAAAGAGGGCGAUGGCCAGAGGACACAAAUGGGACGGGGAGGCAGCACGUUGGGGGGGGGACGCGACACGGCUCGGGCCCGCCAGUGCCCCAACGGGGUCCUAGUUUUUCUUUUUCCUCCCCUUUGAACUGGAAAAUUGCCCACUUCCCACUGGCGAAAACUCAGGAAAUUUGGCAGGACGACCGGGCCUGGUGAAAAAUUCGAUAUUCUGAAGUCGCCCAAACAAUAAAAUGCAAAAUGGCUCCAUAGCGCCCCCUAAGGUGAAAAUUCACAUGACGGCUGUACGCUUUGUCAUAUUGACACAAAAAUUGACACACAUAUGUAUCUCAAUAAGAUCUACAAAAAAGUCAAUGCGGGCGUAUUUGUCAAAUGUACGGUUAAAGGGUUAUUUCGCAUUUUUUGCCGAUCCGCACACAUUGGAAUUUCGCUAACUCCUCCGAAGGCUUUCGUUCCACCGGCACCACAUUUGCUCAGGCCAAUCUACACCCCAUGGCCAUUAAAAGUUAUUCAAAUCAUGACGCUGCACCCCACGGUUUAGGUUCUAGGGGGCGCCAAAAAUAACCCUAAAAUCCACAUAUUUAAAAGUCUUAUAACUUUUUAUUUUUGUCCUCACUGGCCUCCAAGUUUUCUAGGAUGAUGCAAUGUCCAGCCAUCAACACAUCUGUGAAGGAAUUUUUACUCGCCAAAAGAGCGCCCCCCCAUGGCAGGAGAAAAAAGUCCAUUUUUUCUUGUCCCCUAAGGUGAAAAUACACAUUGUUGAGUGUCACGCCUGUACGCUUUGGCAAAAUGACACAAAAAUUGACACACACAUGUAUCUCAAUAAGAUCUACGAAAAAGUCAAUGCGCGCGUAUCUGUCAAAUGUACAGUUAAAGGGUUAUUCCGCAUUUUUUGCCGAUACGCACACAUUGGAAUUUCGCUAACUCCUCUGAAGGCUUUCGUUCCACUGGCACCACAUUUGCUCAGGCCAAUCUACACCCCAUGGCCAUUAAAAUUUAUUCAAAUCAUGAUGCUGCACCCCAUGGUUUAGGUUCUAGGGGGCGCCAAAAAUAACCCAAAAAUCCACAUUCUUAAAUGUUUUAUAACUUUUUUUUUUUGUCCUCACUGGCCUCCAAGUUUUCUAGGAUGAUGCAAUGUCCAGCCAUCAACACAUUUGUGAAGGAAUUUUUACUCCCCAAAAGAGCGCCCCCCCCAUGGUAGGAGAAAAAAGUCAAUUUUUUCUUGUCCCCUUACAUGAAAAUACACAUUGUUUAGUGUCACGCCUGAAC